CCAGCAUUGGAAAGGAAAAGACUCACAUUAACACUAACCACAUUGUGGCCAUUGGACACGUAGAUUCCAGCAAAUCCAUCACUACUGAUCAUCUGAUGUCCAAAUGUGGUGGGAUCAACAGACAAAUCACUAAAAAGUUUGAGAAGGAGGCUGCUGAGAUGGGAAAAGCCUCAUUCAAGUGACAGUUUAAAGCUGAGUGUGAGUGUGACAUCAGUAUUGACAUCUCUCUGUGGAAACUUGAGACCAGCAAAUACUAUGUGACCAUCAUUGAUGCCCCAGGACACAGAGACUUUUUCAAAAGCAUGAUUACGGGCACAUCUCAGGCUGUCUGUGCUGUCCUGAUUGUUGCUGCUGGUGUUGGUGAAUUUGAUGCUGGUAUCUUCAAGAAUGGGCAGACCAGUGAGCAUGCCCUUCAGGUUUACACAUUGAGUGUGAAACAGAUAAUUGUUGGUGUCAACCAAAUGGAUGUCACAGACCUGCCCUGUAGUCAGAAGAGAUCUGAGGAAAACCGUUAAGGAAGUCAGUACCUACAUUGAGACAAUUGGCUACAAUCCUGACAGAGUAGCAUUUGUGCCAAUUUCUGGUUGAAAUGCACCAUGAGGCUUUGAAUGAAGAUCUUCCUGAGGACAAUGUGGGCUUAAAUGUAAAGAAUAUGUCUGUCAAAGAUGUUCGACAUGGCAACGUUGCUGGUGACAGCAAAAAUGACCCACCAAUGGAAGCAGCUGGCUUCACUGCUCAGGUGAUUAUCCUGAACCACGUAGGCUAACUUAGUGCUGGCUGUGCCCCUGAACUGGACUGUCACACAGUUCACAUAGCUUGUAAGUUCACUGGGCUUAAAGACUGAUCACAGUUCUGGUAAGAAGCUGGAAGAUGGCCCUGAAUUCUUGAAAUCUGGUGAUGCAGCUGUUGUUGAUACGGUUCCAGGCAAGCCCAUGUGUGUUGACAGCGUCUCUUAUUAUCCUUCUCUGGGUUGUUUUGCUGUUUGUGAUACGAUGCAGACAGUUGCUGUGGGUGUCAUCAAAGCCAUGGACAAGAAGGGUGCUGGAGCUGGCAAGGUCACCAAGACUUCCCCAAAAGCUCAGAAGGCUAAUUCAACAGGCUACCUGUUUGUAGGACUGCCCCUCUCUUCAUCCAUGUGCUUCAGCUGGCCCGGCCCCACCUGGACACACCUGCUCAUACCCAUGUGA